rnacentral:rRNA from 1 species
CAAAAACAUCGCCUCCCGCAAAAAUCAACGUAUAGGAGGUCUUGCCUGCCCAGUGACUGUAAGUUAAACGGCCGCGGUAUUUUGACCGUGCAAAGGUAGCGCAAUCACUUGUCUUUUAAAUGAAGACCUGUAUGAAUGGUGAAACGAGGGCUUAACUGUCUCCCCCCUCUAGUCAAUGAAAUUGAUUUACCCGUGCAGAAGCGGGUAUAAUAAUACAAGACGAGAAGACCCUUUGGAGCUUAAGACGAAAGACCAACUAUGUUAAUAACCCCAAAAAGACUUAAACCAAAUAGUUACUGGUCCCAAUCUUCGGUUGGGGUGACCGCGGGAGAAAACAAAGCUCCCACGCGGACUGGGCUUACCCCUAGAACUAAGAGAGACAUCUCUAAGGCACAGAACAUCUGACCAACAAGAUCCAGCCACAUGCUGACCAACGGACCAAGUUACCCUAGGGAUAACAGCGCAAUCCCCUCCCAGAGUCCAUAUCGACAAGGGGGUUUACGACCUCGAUGUUGGAUCAGGACAUCCUAAUGGUGCAGCCGCUAUUAAGGGUUC